GGCAGCCUUCCGAUCCAGGUCGGUGAGGUUCCCUCGGUCACACGCACCAGGUCGCACCGGAGGUGAAGGAAACCGCUGCCCCCAUGUGUGUCAGCUCACGACGCCGCUUCACUCGUCUCAGAAUUCCACCCGGCUGGCCGCUCCUCUGGCACGCUGGGAACCCUUACGUAGACACAACAACAAGCGGCAGUAUGCGUUCUCAUACAACAGUGUUAGCUUAGCUCGUAUCCGCCAAGUGCUACUACUUUCUCUCUCGGUACUUACACGACAGGCAGGGACUUCUCCCUGCCGCUGCGUGUGAAUCACGUUGUAACACUUGCGGGCUCGCGGUCUCCAGUGCGUGUGUCUUUCCUUCAGCCCCUUUAGGACGGUUGCGAUAUGCCUCAGCGUCUCUUCGCUGCUCCCGGCAUCUUACUCUCUGCUGCUCCCAUUCAGCUGCUUUAUUCUCCCUGGCUUCAAUCACGCACAGCUGAAAGUGAUUGCCUGGGACUCUGUGAUUUGGGGUGGUCAUGGCAACGGCAGGCUAUAAUAACUGGAGAUGUUCCCUCAUCAUGGGAGCUCAGGAGGAAGAGACCAACCCUUCACUUUGAAGAUGAGCAACUUAACCAGGUUGUUUCAUUCUUGUUUAAAGUCAUCGAGGAAACAGCAGCGAACAGACUGGGUCGCCUUCAUUUUGAUGUUCUUUUGCCAGACGUAUGACAAGAUUGUGUUGUUUGCAUGAAGUGAUUAAUGAAUGAAUGAAUGUCAUGUGUGUAUUAAUACAUUUAUGUGUUUAAUCCAAAUGAACUAAAGGGGAAACGCUGCAUCUGAAACUUGGAAAGUUUAAGGGAAAUUUUUAGGAAUUUUUUUCAGAUUGAAGUUAAUAAAAUAUUACAUAUAUUUUCCUUUUGUUAGUCUUCCAGUGAAAAUUAAAGGAUUUGUGAUAGUUUUUUGUUUUGUUUUUUUAACUGUCCACAUUUCUUUCUUCUGGUCGAGGUGGCAGAUGCAGAUCAACUGAGCGUAUCAGAGGCUUUAGAAGGUUCAGAAGUUUCCACAAUAUGAACCAUGGUAAUAAUAAUAUGUGAACAAUUGAUGAUGAUGAAACAUCUACUUCAAUACCUUCUUCAUUUUUUUUUUACAGUGAGAUGAAAAUGUUGGCAAACAUGAUGAAAAACCUGUCAGAGGACGGAACAGUAAAGCUGAAAGCUUUUGGAAAAAAUGAAAACAGCCCUGAGGCAUUCCUCCAGAGACUUUACAUUUUACAUCCUACACACACUCGUACAUCACUACUUUGUUUUACUCUAUAUUUUUUUUAUCCAAAAAAGUUCACUUGUUUAUUUGUCUUUUGGUUGAUAGAUUUCAUUUUUCAAAUUAGAAUGCUGACAGGAGCAUGUGCCAGUGGAUGCAAUGAGCUCUUAAUCAGCUUUGUUUCUCAGCAGAGCAACACAUUAAAAGAGGUGAUGAAUGUAAUUAACUUCAGUUGUCAUGGUUUUAAAGCUCUGGCUGACUAUUAUUCUUCAUCAGUAAAUGAAUGUAGUUACCUGACUAUGAAAUUCAAAAGCAGUCUUGUGUAAGUUGUUGACUGUUCUCAUCAUCCAACCAAAUAAAGUCUGACACAGAAUGUUA